UUUGACUAAGGGUUCAUUAAUGCUUCUACACCAAUAGGUCUGGAUUUCGAUUCCCGGAGAAAGCGGAAUUAUGCGAAUUAAUGGAGAAGCGGCUUACAAGAAAUUUGCAGCAUAGCGCAAAGAGUAUCGUCAAGGGUGGAUCCGAUAGGGCGGCUCAGGUAAUGCAGUCAGACGUGAAUCUUCAUAAGGCGGGUAGAAUUGUAGGCUGUGGAAUCGUCUGUAAUAUUUCUCCGAGUUUGUAAUAGCAUAAUAUAUCCAGUGUUAAAAAGAAAAGUAGAC
rnacentral:lncRNA from 1 species